ACAUAGCCUUGCCAAGCCCUGACUCACUUCCGCUCUCGCCCUCUUCUCCCCUCUGCCCACCACCCGCCUCGCUCCUCGUCAGCUGUGCUGCGCAGUGUCGACCGCCUUAUCGCUCUUUCUCCCGUUCACAUCCGUGUUGACCUUGUCAGCUGUCACUGUUGCAGAUUUACCGAAGAUGCAGCGCAGAAGCAGCUCUAUUAUUUACGUCAUCCUCCAGUUCAUCGCGUUCUUUUUCGUGCUGGUGGGUACGCCGAUCGACAUGUUCCGGGAUGACACCGAGGGCAUGUACGGCAACACUCCCUGUAUCACCUUAUGGGGGUUUCAGUUCGACUGCUAUAGCGUUUCGUACGAUAACAGGUCGGACCAUUUCUGGGGAGGGUGCCACGGCCGCCGCGACCGCUUCCGCGCUGCUCAGGCGUUUGCCAUCCUCUCUGUUGUGGUGUACGGCACGGCGUUCGUCCUGGGCUUAUUCGCAGGGUGCUGGUGUCCUUUCUUCCGCUGGGUGUGCCUGAUUCUCAACAUCGUUGGUAUCUUGACGUUGUGCAUCGUCUGGGCGGCCAUGGUGGUGACCUACUACAAGGAUGAGGGUGAAUCGUGCCCGAGAGUGGGUUUUUUUUUCGCCUAUGGAGUCGGCUUCGCUCUCUUCUUGGUGGCCUGGUGCCUGGAUAUCAUCAACAUCUUCUUCUUGCUGCUCCCGUGCGAGGAUCAGAAGUUUGGCGAGAGUGGGAAUCCGGAGCCCUCGACGCGGCACGGAGAGGAGGAAAUGAAGUGAAGGCGGUGGCGGGCAAGCUACUUCGGCUCCGCGGGCUUCUCCGUACAGACGCCAUGAGGUGGGGGAUCCGGCGGAGCUGAUGUCUGCGCGAGAAGGGAGGGAAGACACGGACUCUCGUCGCUGCUUCUCGCCGCCUCACCUCUCGCGCUGCCGUCUCUCGCGUGUGUGCGUCCUCCCACGCGCGUCUGCUUGGGGGGCUUUUCGGCUUCCUCGCGUGCAAGGUAACCUGCGCUGUGUGGUGGGCAACGCACGCCUGGCGCCGGCAGGCCCACCCACGCCCCGUUCCCCCCCCCUGAGCCCCUCGCCCUCGCUGCCGUGUCGGAGUCGCCCGUCUGACGCUCGCCCGGCGCUCCGUUGGCGAUGUGAAGGAGCGAAGGACGACGCGGGACGGUGACACGUGCGCUGCAGGCCUGGAAACGGCGGCGUGGAGGGGGAGCGAAGGAGGGGCAGGUGACCGAGGUGGACACGGAGGACAAACGUGGCGGUGUGGAGAAACGGACGCCCUCGCACGGAGGACGGGAGGCGCCACGCCACGCUGCAUCGGUCGCCCGCCCCCCUCCACACCCCGCAGUCGCGAUGGCGCGUCUUCCUGGUGUGUCUCCCUCGCGCCGCCUUUGGCCCCCGUCGCUGCCGCUGCGACUCCCCCGCGCCCCUGGCGGCACACCCGCGAGGGGAAGAGGCAGCACAGCGGCGCGAAGAUGCAGGCCGAGCACAGUCUCCCCCGCACCCCCCCCCCCUCCACACGCACGCGCAUAUGCUGCCGUUUUUUUCGUUUCUCUGUUCGUGCUAUCGCUUGAUUUGACAUUCGCAUGUUUCUUUCGAUUUCUCUCGUUUUCGUCUCUCUCCCUAUGCAGAGAAGAGCCGCAUGGACGUGUGCGUGUGCGUGCCGCCCUGCCAUUUUCCCGUUGUGUCUCCGUGCCGCUGCCCUGCUCCUCGUCUUCCCCGCCCCCUCCCUGCGCGCGUGUGUGUGCGAGGGCGGCUGAUCGAGGGGACGACGAGGUGGAGAGCAGUCGCGGCACCGCAGCGCUGGGGAUACAUGGGGAGUGUGCAGGAGCAGCGGAGGAGAGGCACGCACACGCACUCUGGCAAGGGAGCGAUGACGCGGAGGCCGCAGGGGAAUACGCAGCGGAGCGAGUGGGUACGGAGGCGGAGCGGAGGCGAGGCAGUGUUGCUUCUCUGUUCGCCCCGCUUGCGUUCGACUCGAGUGUGUCUGCGUGUGCGUCCCCUGCGGCCCUCGGGCCCCUCGCCUCUCUUGCGCGCUUCGCUUCGUUUGUUUCGUUGCUGUGGCUGUCUAACUACACUUUCGAGUCGGCCAGAGUCCCGUGUGGAGAUUAUUCACACCAUAUUACGGCAUGCGGCGGCUUGAGGCGACCGAGGGAGGGGCAUGGCGUGCAGGCGGAGCACAAGGUGUCAGAGGGCCCUGGCCUUCGGCUGGCCCACCUCCUCUCGGUGCUCAUGUGGUCCGCGCCUACACCAGCCCCUGCGGCCAGCACGGCUGACGUCGCCGCCUCCGCCCUCGAGGAGGAAGCCUGGCCGCGGCCUGCCUGGACCGAUGCAUGCCGCCCACCCGGGUCUGCGUCUGGCGCCGCUAGCGCCGCAGGUGCCCGAGGAAUGGACGAGCAAAGACAAGGCGGGCCGCUAGCGGCAUGGCUCGAUACCCCAGCAGACGACUUGUCUUCGCCGGCGCGGAUGUAGCCGUGGCGCAACAGAGGGGCGUGUGAGCUGUGCGCGAAUGCGUACAUGUGCCGACUUGCCCGUCGCGGAGUAAGAUUUUUAUAUUUAAAUACGCUGUUUUUCCUGGCAAACACGCGUAGCAGAAACUAGUAAGUGCAGCGGCAUGGCGACGAGUAUACAUAUACACUAUACACAUAUGUCUAUCUGUAUCUAGAGCGCUGCACCGUCAAUCCGUCAAAACGCCACGCACUUUGUUUUCCCCGCCGACCACCGCCCCCUGUGCUCUCCCGAGCGGGCGGAGCGCGUGCGCGUGCGUCCCUCUCUCCUCGCGCUUCUCCGUUGCUUGCUUUUUGCUUUCUGUCAUUAUUGUCUCCGUUCCUCGACUG
rnacentral:misc_RNA from 1 species